UCGCGGCUUAUCACCGGCAGUCCCCUUAGAGUGCCCAACUGAAUGAUGGCAACUAAGGGCGAGGGUUGCGCUCGUUGCGGGACUUAACCCAACAUCUCACGACACGAGCUGACGACAGCCAUGCAGCACCUGUCACCGGCCAAUUGAAGAGCUCCGUCUCCGGAGCCCCGACCGGGAAGUCAAGCCCUGGUAAGGUUCUUCGCGUUGCAUCGAAUUGAACCACAUGCUCCGCUGCUUGUGCGGGUCCCCGUCAAUUCCUUUGAGUUUUAAUCUUGCGACCGUACUCCCCAGGCGGAAUGCUUAAUGCGUUAGCUGCGCCACCGAAGAGCAUGCUCCCCGACGGCUGGCAUUCAUCGUUUACGGCGUGGACUAC
rnacentral:misc_RNA from 1 species